rnacentral:tRNA from 1 species
AGGGUCGUAGCACAAUCGGUAGUGCACUGGUCUCCAAAACCAGGGGUUGUGGGUUCGAGUCCCGCCGGCCCUGCCA